CACCGUAUUCAUAAAAAUUUUCAUUUGCCUAGAUGCUUAAUAUUUAUAUAAUUCAUUAACAGUUAAUAUGUAUAUGUACAUUUUUCACAUUUUUAUGAUUUUACUAGAUGCCACUGUCAAACAAAGAGAGAGCAGCAUGGUUUCUUUACAGCGUAGCCUAAUUAAUUUCCUUGAAAAAACUAUUUUCAGUGUGACUACUUUUGCAUAACAUAAAAAUUAAUUAUUUAUGAACAUCAAUUGUGUGUAAGUUGUGUAAAAAUUACAAUUCAUGUGUAAACUCAUCAGAAUCAGAAUCAGAAUCAGAAUGAGCUUUAUUACCAAGUAUGCUUCCACAUACAAGGAAUUUGUCUUGGUGACAGGAGCUUCCAGUACACAACAAUACAAAAAAACAGCAACAAGACUUUUAAAAAAUAAUUAAAAUUGAAUAAAAAAUAGAUAAAUAUUGAAAAGAAAAAAGUAUAUAUAUAAUAUACAAUAGACAUAUAUAUAUAUAUACACACACACACACACACACACACACACACACACACACACACACACAUAUAUACACAUAUACAUACAUAUACACAUACAUAUACACAUAUAUAUACAUACACACAUGCAUACAUAAACAUACAUACACACACAUACAUACACACACAUACAUAUACAUAUACACAUAUAUUCACAUAUACACAUAUAUGAAUAUAUAUACAUACAUAUACAUACAUACAUACAUACACACACACACACAUACACAUACGUAGUGCAUGACAAUCCGUUGUGACAUAAGGUGUCAUACCGAGUAACAAUUUCAGUCAGGUGGGAUAAUGCUGAUUUUUUCCCUUAAAAUGCAUCAUUUCAUUUUAUGGAGCUGAGAAAACAAUAAUAAUAUGAUGCCAAUUACUGUAAAACAUUUUCAGACAUUUUGCAGCUUAAAUCACAUUGCAGCUUUAAAAUGUGGGUAAAGAACUUUAACAAGUAGGGUCACAUUUAAAGCAAACACAUUAUAAUGAGAAAAAAAUAACUGUGCAAGUUUUAUUUUCCGAGCUCUAAAUAUUGGUUACUGCCUCACUUUAUAUAUUCAUGAAGUAUUAUUGAUUAAAACAUUUUUAAUAUGAUAAUAUUUUGAAACUUCAUUAACAUUAUCCCGUAUGACAUUUUGACUGGUGUCGUCACAUGAUUCUCAAUUAAAACACUUAAAAAACAUUUUUGAAAAUAAGAUUUUAGUAAUAAGGCAAUAACAUCCUCAUAAAAGCAAAAACUACUUUGAUGUGCAGUUUCAACCUAUUUUAAUUUUUGGUCAAUUGAAAACCUUAUUCGUCACUGGGCCAAUUACCAGUUAGGAAUCACUGCUUUAAGGAACUGAAAUACUCUUAAAAAAUGCUGGGUUAUUUUUUCUACCCAAGUCUCUGGGUUGAGACUGUUGGAUGAAUAAAUUGGGUUGAUUUGACCUAAUCUGGGUUGGUAAACGUUUUAAACUUGUAACCCAGAACUGCUGGGUUGGGAAAGCAGACGUGAGAGAAACAAUAUACGUUGUUACGCACAGUUUCAAAUCUUUGUGAAGGCUACCAAAUGAGAGAAAGAGUGCCAACGCUGGAAACUGGAAGAUGUACGCUGUAAGUUGUUAAUUUAUUCAUUUAUUUAGUCAUUUUUGAACAUAUGAAGGAAUAAUUAGAGACGGACUGUUGAAUUACUGAAAAUGAAUGCGCAUUCUGAAGUGAUAAUGCGAAGCGAAGUGGGCGUUACAUCACAGAUGUACAUUAACUUUCAAAAACUUCAACGGUUUAGAUACAGUUAUUUCACUGAUACCGCAGUUACCACGCAUAUAAUACAUAACAACCACAUAUACAUUUGUUUGUCUCAGCAUAUUUUCAGGUUUUCAGUUUGGAUUUAUAACUAUACACUGAAUAACCUCUAACUGAGUGGUGCUGUGUUGUGGAUGCCACGUGAAAUUUCAAACCUCUGUGAAGACUGAAGAGAGUGAGAGACGAUGCUGGAGACAUGUGACAUCGCCUUUCUGGUCUCAUCUGUGCUCUCAACAUCGGUGUACACGAUUGGAAGGAAAAUAUUCGGACCAAGCUUCACACGGAAGGCCUUCAUUGACAUGCAGCCUAUUGGUACCAGUGGCUGAUUACCUGCAGUUUCAAGAUACCUUCAAAUUUUUAAACACACUGAUGCUUGGAGAAAACAAUCAGCUUUGCACAGUGGACAUUUACUUCAAAGCUUUCUACCUCUUAAAUAUGAAUUAUCCCAAGAAGCGUUCCCCAGUGUGUGAAUUUCUACAGACUGGUAACUUGUUUAUUGCAA